CAGCCUGUAUUAAAAUUAUUAUGUGAGAGCCAUGCUUGAUUCUGCUUUAACUGGUUCAGUAAGCUAUGUUCUAUGACAUGCUGUUCGUGGGUUACGCUUUAAUUAUUUACAUCAUUUUAGUGGGUAAAAGGCAACGGGAAGUGCAUUUCCCUGCAAGAGCGACUGCUGAAAAAUCCGUUCAAUUAUCUCUUUCACCACACGGCAGGCUAUAAUGUACGUUCCGAACACUGAGCAAAUUAAUAUUUUUUUCGGUUCCUAUACUUGAGUCAACUGGUGUUGAAUCCGAUGUAGCCUGUGCUUUCUCCCGUUAAUGGUGAUAAGAGGCAUUUCAGUAAGCGCGCGCCUCUCCCGCUGGUGCGGUAAACGCCCUAGGAGAUGUCAGAGAAGGGUGUUAUUUUUUCACGUCUCUAGAAGGUUCUAUUUAUAAUAGAUAGCUGCAAUAGCUCAGCUAUAACUGAGUCUGCUUGUACCCGACAGCCAUUUGGAGUCAUAUGACCCGCCGCUCAUACCUAAGGUAUCUCCAGUGACAAACCAAACUCCGCAGCAGCUUGGAGCGUCCUACCAGGACAAGCAUUCGCUUCGCGCAGCACCGCGCGGAACUCGUUCGGAGGAUGUACAACGCUGCGAAGUGCUUGCAAGAAGACCUUGGAUUUUAACUAAAACACGCACAGUGCGUGACUGAAGGGAAAGCUGAAAAUUCACACAGCGGAAUUGUUAAUAAACAGCGAUGCCAGAGGAAAAAGUCUUCCACCAGCAGGCUGUUCACAGCCCAUUGGAUCAGAAGCAGAGCAGCUCCAUCCUGUGCCAGAACUGCGGAAAGGCCUGCAAGGGGGAGGUGCUGCGCGUGCAGAACAAACACUUCCACAUCAAGUGCUUCGUCUGCAAAGUGUGCGGCUGUGAUCUGGCCCAGGGGGGGUUCUUCGUGCGCCAGGGGGAAUACAUCUGCACCCUGGACUACCAGAAGCUGUAUGGGACUCGCUGCUUCAGCUGCGAUGAGUUCAUUGAAGGGGAGGUGGUGUCGGCCCUGGGGAAGACCUACCACCCGCGCUGCUUCGUCUGCGCCGUCUGCAAACAGCCCUUCCCUGCCGGUGACCGGGUGACAUUCAACGGGAAGGAGUGCAUCUGCCAAAAGUGCACACAACCCCUGCCGUCCGACAGCCCCGCGCCAAUCCAGGCCGUCCGCAACUGCUGUGGCUGUGGUAAGGAGUUUAAGAACGAGCAGUCCCUCGUGGCCCUGGACAAGCACUGGCAUCUCGGCUGCUUCAAGUGCAAGAUCUGCAACAAAGUGCUCAACGCCGAGUACAUCAGCAAGGAUGGGAUCCCCUACUGCGAGGUGGAUUACCACGCCAUGUACGGGAUCCAGUGUGAGAACUGCAAGAAGUACAUCACUGGCAAGGUGCUGGAGGCUGGGGACAAGCACUACCACCCAACCUGCGCCCGCUGCGCCAAAUGUGACCAGAUGUUCGGAGAGGGAGAGGAGAUGUACCUGCAAGGCUCCUCCAUCUGGCACCCCCCCUGCAGACAGGCGGCGCGUGCGGAGGAGAAAAGCAAGAAACAGGUGCGGAUUCAGCUCCGAGAUGGUUCUUCACAGGUGACCAGGACCUCCUCCGAGAGCAUCACCUCUGCGCCAGCCUCCAGCGCCUCAGGGUCCCCUAGCAGAGUCAUUUACGCUAAACUGGGAGACGAGCUGCUGGACUACAAGGACCUGGCUGCCCUGCCGAAGAUAAAAGCCAUAUACAACAUCGACAGACCGGACAUGCUAACGUACUCCCCUUACAUCAGCUACCCUGCUGAAGACCGCAUUCAAGGAGAGUCGCCUCAGUUGCUUUCCCCUACUCCGACAGAGGGCGAUGGCGAGAAGUCGCCCCGUCAGAGACGGCCAUCCAGCCCCAGCUCCAACAGCUCCCUGGGGGGGUACGGGCGCUACACCCCGUCCCGUUCGCCCCAGAACUACAGCCGACCAGAGACGUAUGUGGUGGGUAGAUACUCCGGGACUGCCAGAAACUCCUCCUCCCUGCCCUUUUACACGUCCGCCAAACAUGGCGGCGCGGCGAGCGGGUGGCAGGCCGGGACCUCCGCCUCGCUGCCCGCGUACGGCAGCGCCAGCGGCAGAUACGCCGGGCAUGCUGGGAACGCGGGCUCCCUGCCGCUCAACAGCCUGGCCCUGCUCUACCACCACGGCUACAUCCCCUACUUCAAAGGGUACAAGCAGGACCCCCUCCUCGAAAAUAAGCCUAGGACAUCCCUGCAUCUCAGUUUGCCCUCUUACGGCAGUGAAAGUGGUCGGAGCACUCCCAGCUUAUCUGCGUACUCAGACAGCAAAUCUCCCUGCUCCACAUAUGUGCAAGCUCCCAGGCAUUUCCAUGUGCCAGACACUAAGAUCAAAGAUAAUAUCUAUAGAAAGCCCCCUAUCUACAGACAGCAUGCGUCAAGAGCAUCCUGGCAGGAGGGGGAUGAUGUGGACAGAAAGACGAGGACCAGUUGGAUGAUCCUAAAGGACGAGAUUGACGGACGCACGAGCGCGGAUUACGUGGACCCCAGGACAUCGACCCGCAGCCUGCCCAUCGAUACCCCUCAGCCCAAUUUCCCCUAUAAUAAAUCUGCAUCUCUGCCAGGCUAUGGAAGAAAUGGCAUAUACAAGGCCGCCGACCUCGCCGAGGACGACGCAGACCAGGACUCCAGCUGGGGGAUGAGAGAGUACAAGGUAAGGUGUGCUGGGGGCCUGGGGGUGGGGGUCCGGGAGGAGCAGUUCCAGGGUGACGGCUCGUGCCGCACGUUUUCCGCCCUCGCCGCACGUGAGGAGGCGCGGGGGACGCAGCGCAGUUCCGCGGCGCUGAGGUACGCUGUGUUCCGUCUGCCGUCCCCCAGGUGUACCCCUACGACGUGCUGGCCGUGACGCACAGGGUGAGAGUUAAGCUGCCCCGGGACGUGGACCGCACCAGGCUGGAGAGACACUUGUCCCCUGAAGACUUCCGUCAGGUUUUCGGGAUGACCAUCGAGCAGUUUGACCGCCUCGCUCUGUGGAAAAGAAACGACCUCAAGAAGAAAGCGCGACUUUUUUAAGCGCUGCGAAGCCAAACGGCGUCAGCGGCGGCCCUGCGAUGGCGUGCUUAGCAUUCAUCCCAUCUGAUUAAAAAACAAGGUAUAUGUGCACCAACACACUGCUUCACAGCUGCAGAGUCCCCUCAGCCUGGACAGGGAGGGAAGAACUGCCCCGAUCCACCUGGGGACCUUGGAACGUUCUCGCGACGGUUCCCUGACGCUGCGGCAACCGACGUGACCCGCAGUGUUAUGAGAAUGUCCGUUGUGAUUGACGGGGGAGGAGCUAUACUUGCAUGGCCGGUUACUUGGUCCCUUCUCUCUCUCUAUCUCUCCCUCACUCUUUCUUCUUUCUCUCUCCCUCCAUCUCUCUCUCUCUCUCUCUGUGUGAGGUCCAAAUCACCCCCUCCCCAACUCCACCCACUCACGCCCUGCUCCUCUCCUCAGCAGAAUAAAUACCGCAAGCUUUCUAAAUCCCCGUGUCGGCCUCUUAGCGACCGCGCCACACCCUCUUCUCUUUCUGCUUCUAACAUGACAUGUGCACAGUUUACGUUCUUUGAAACACUACAGUUUCAGUUUACAGCAGUGGAAGACCAAGUAUACUGCGAGAGCACUCUUGAGGCCAAAGAGGGACAGGAAACAACUCUUAUUUCUUUUCAUUUUUUUUUUUUGGUAAUAUAAUUAAAUAUGGUUAAAGCACCUUACUAUAUUGUUUUCUUUCUGUUUUCAACCAAGAUUAUUCCUCAAAUGGAGGAUGGUCACAAUCUUUGUUGAGUGCUCCUAGAUACUGUAUGUCAUAUGUGAGAUAUACAUAUAAAUCAAUGAGGCACAGAGAUGUGAGGGGCUAAAGACAGCCCCUAUAAGACCGUAAAUCUGAGAGGGAAACGACAGGUGAGAAUACCAUUAGAGCUGCUCAGCUAGCACCACAAAUCGCCACAGAACCAAGGUCUAAACUUGAGUGACUUUGCAGAGAAUGGUGUACAGGCCAUGUCUAUGUUGGUCUAAACCAACAAAAGAAAUUCCAAUUGAAGCCUAAAAUAAUUUUUUAUAUUGUAAUAUGAACUCUGAAAGCAUUAAUGACAUUACCAAAUCCGGACUAAAUUGUUUAUAUUUGUUAAAAAUGUAUUCCCAUGGACAUAUUUUCAGUCAUAACUACACAGACUUACAUAAGCACUUCAGUGCAUUUAUUUGGUUUUUAUUUAAUUUGAGUAAUAUAUAAAUGUGUUUUACUUUUGUUUAUCUUAUAGAGAAUAAACUGUAUAUAUUACAAAUGCAAUUGCCAAUCUAAUUAACCAUAAGCUACCGCAAAUAUCAAACAGUACGUUCACUGACACUGGAUAUGUGUAGUUUAAAAGGAGCCAUUUUGAUAUCUCACCUGUAACAUUCAUAUCACUGUUGAAGUACUACGUACACAACUAUGUGCUUAAAGUGAGGGCUGGUGAUAUCUUUGAGGUUCUCACCUUGGAGCUCUUCAAAAUGGAAGCCGAAUGAAGCUUCGUAAAGAUCAGCACGAUGUCAGCUCUGUAUCUGCUAUCAGCAAACAUGGUGGCUGAUCGGUAAUGAGCAGCAAAAACCAGCUUUGCUUUUAUCAUGUACACAUUUCUUUGGAACAGAUGACAAGCUUAACUUACUUUUUUUGUUUUGUGAGUCAAAUAUCUAUUUUUCUAUAGCAUCUAGAUAAAGGCUACUUUAUGUGACACGCAACUACUGUGUACAGUAAGAAAUUUACUGGUGAAAAAACAAUACGGUGAAUACUUUUUUAAUUCCUCACACGCUCACAUAGUUUUUGUGAUUAUUUCAUGUUUUUUUUUUGUUUGUUUGUUUGUUUUUUUUUUUUAAACAGAGCUAACAAUUUGGCUUCAUUUUAAAACAGCCUAUUAAAUAAGCUAAACCAUUUACAUAUGUCGAUUGCUUUUUUAAGUGCUUUAUUGGAUCUAAAAAGUCCACAGUGUAUUAGUGUCCCAGUGAAUGCCAGCAGCUGUUACUGAGGACCGAUUGAUUUUCAUAUGCUGGUCGAGGAGUCAUUGUCCAGUUAGAGACAGUAAUGUACAGCACUCCCCGUGUAAAUCAUAUAGUCGACUGGAGUGUCUGGGAUCGCAUUGCACCCUGGGAAUGUUACAGGGAUGUUGUGCUGUCUUUGUGGCAGGUGGAGAGAUUCAAGUUCCCCCCCUGACUGUGUUUUGGGGUUCACAGUUUUUCUGUUGAGAGUCCCUCUGUGGUUCUGGAGAGGGCAGUGAGGCGAUUAUGCCUGCAUUAUUUGAACAGCUGUGGAAACAGGAGUAUGUGAGGUAUUAGACUAAAGCUGCAGCCUUCGCCUAGCCAAGUCACUGCGCAAGCAGGCGCCUUUCAUCCCCUUAGCAAAACACACUUCCCUCCCAGAGAAAAUAGCUCUUUAAAAUAAGACCGUUUAUCUUUGAGACGAAGAAGAAAAAUAUAUAUGUAUGUAUGCCUUGCUUUUUAAUUAAAUUUUAUUUCCUAAUGUUUCAGAAAGAGAAUGAAUUCUCUACAGCAGUGCAAGGAUGUUACCUGGUGUUUUUUUAUUUUUGGGAAACUGAGAUUGUAAGUGUCCACAGUUUGUUUCUGGGUUAAAUAAUAGCAGAAGGCAAGUUCCUGUAAUGAAUGCUUUAAUGUUCAUAAAACGCAUUUACAGUUAUGUUAAAUAACUUGACAUAAAAAACUAUGAAUGACACACAGGCUAUGAAAUUGCUAGCAUUUAAUAAAUACUUUUUUGUACUUUGCCUUCAAAUAUCUACUUUUUUUGCCAAUCUGUGUUUUGAUAGAAAUGCGGAUAGAGUGAUGCUAAUUCUAAAGAAACUGUGUUGGCCUGCUAAUAACACAGAAAUGUUCUUUUGUGUGAAUAGAACAACCCAUUUAACCACCGGAUGCAACAUUUGGUCUAUGCUGUCAAUGUUGAUGUCCUUGUGGCAAAGCAGCAUGGAGAUAAGGGUCAAAUUCUGCUGUAACUAAAAGCCUUUUUGUUUUCUCAUGCUUUUAUUUUGCUUCGCUGGUUUGCAAGAAAUGCUGAUGUCUCUCAUCUUAAAAUAAAUGUUUGGUUCAGUA